rnacentral:sRNA from 1 species
AGACACCUCACCUGUACCUCUCGUACCACAGAGGACAGGUCUCCUCCAGCUGUGCCCCCACUCCCCUAAAAGCCUUGUAUUCCCCUCUGCAGGUUCCCUCUGGCCCCACCAGGAGAAGAAGAUGGCCUAUGAAAAAUCAACUGAUAUCUUUGAUGUCUCCAGGUCAAUGUUCCUGUACCCAUGGCUGGAAUAUCCAGACAGGACCAAAGAACUCAGAAAAGCCAUGGCUCCUGUUCAUCUGCCCUUGUCCUGCUACCAGAUGCCAAAGGAAGAGUUUCCCCCAAGUCCAGAGUGCUGGAGGCAGCAUCCGAGCAAGCCAAACUCAGUCCCGUACUGCUACUUCAAGAAACCUGAGAUCUACACGCACUGGCACAACCUGUAUGAUCAGCGAGAGGAAAGGGAGGCUGAAAAGAUGUUGAGGAAAAUGAGAGAUGACUGUACAUCAAAGAGGUACAUCAAACCCACAUCAAAAUGUUCCAUCUCCCGAUGAGCAAGCUGACUAUAAAAUCUGAGAUGCGAUCCAGGCCCUUAGAGCCUACCCAGGACCCCCUGAAGUGGCAAAGAUUAAGG